GAUGAACGCUGGCGGCGUGCCUAAUACAUGCAAGUCGAGCGAACUUUUGGGAGCUUGCUCCCCAAAGUUAGCGGCGGACGGGUGAGUAACACGUGGGCAACCUGCCUGUAAGACUGGGAUAACUUCGGGAAACCGGAGCUAAUCCCGGAUAACAUUGAACACCCCAUGGCCUUCAAUUAAAAGGUGGCUUUUAGCUACCACUUACAGACGGACCCGCGGCGCGUUAGCUAGUUGGUGAGGUAACGGCUCACCAAGGCGACGAUGCGUAGCCGACCUGAUAGGGUGGACGGCCACCACGGGACUGGGACACGGCCCAGACUUCUACGGGAAGGAGCAGGAGGGGAUCUUUCGCAAAGGAGGGAAGGCUUGCGGAGGAACGACGCGUGAGCGAAGAAGGCCGUCGGGGCGGAAAGGUCUGUUGGUAGGGAAGAACAAGCAUCGUGCGAGUAGGGCGGUACCUUGACGGUACCUAAAGAGAAAGCCACGGCUAACUACGUG
rnacentral:rRNA from 1 species